GCGAAUUCACUCAGCCAGUUUCACUCUUCAUCAGCAGCAGCACCAGCUAUCAAAAUGUCAUCGUAGGAGAAGGUUUGUGUUAGAGAGACGACAAGAAUGUGGCCAAAAGAAACUGGGAGCAUAUAGUCAUAUAUAUAUAUAUAUGUAAAUAUACACGACCUAACCAAUUCGUAUCUCCUAGCGGCAACUCCAAGAUAGAAGUAUGCACUUCAUUGGGAAAACUGUUUUUCUCUCUGCGGUCCUCGUGCUUUUCUUCAUGACCGACCUUUCGAGUAGCAGAAAGCGAAGCAGGAAACAAACAAUAAAGCUAAGAACAGCCAGGAAAACCGCCACAAUGGAUCUGGAAACCAACAUGACAUCAUGCAGAGAUGAAGAGUGCAAAGCCCUCUGCGAGGGCCAGCUGAACCAGGAAUUUGUGGAUGUUAUAGGGCACUGCGAAGGGGCGAUAUGCAAAUGCGACUACAAAGAACCAUGCAAUGUUCGAAGAUGCCAAAGGCUUUGUCGCCGAGAAGCAGACAGGAGGCGUAUGCCGAACGCAAGCGGAAAAUGCCAACGAACGAACUGUAUUUGCACUCUUGAAGAUGAUUGCGAUAAAGCGAAGUGCAGGAAAGUAUGCAUUGCUAAGUACCCGGGAAGACCAAGCGCUGCCAAGGGAGUAUGCAUCGAUGGAGAGUGCACCUGCAGGCAUAAGUAGUAAAACAAGGACAAGCCGAAAUUUUCUUCGGAAGUCGAUGGGGAUAGCUAUAGGGAUUUCUUGGUAUAACAUAUCGUAUUUGGUUGUAGCGCAAGCAGAACGACAAGGACAACAGAAAGGCACAUCUGGCAGACAACUGUUUCUUGGGAAGAUGCACGGAUGUUCUGAUACUUGGUUUUGCGAGCAAGAACAACUGUGGCGCUAAUAUUCAAAAUAAAAAAUGUACUCGCGUCA